rnacentral:piRNA from 1 species
UGUGAAGCCGUUGCUGGCGUGGUUCUGCCCU